rnacentral:rRNA from 1 species
UACGGAGGGUGCAAGCGUUAUCCGGAUUCACUGGGUUUAAAGGGUGCGUAGGUGGGUCUGUAAGUCAGUGGUGAAAUCUCCGUGCUUAACAUGGAAACUGCCAUUGAUACUAUAGGUCUUGAAUUAUCUGGAGGUUAGCGGAAUAUGUCAUGUAGCGGUGAAAUGCUUAGAUAUGACAUAGAACACCAAUUGCGAAGGCAGCUGGCUACAGGUACAUUGACACUGAGGCACGAAAGCGUGGGGAUCAAGCAGG